AUGGAUACGAGUAACCAUGAUGAUGGAUAUGAGUCAUGUACUGAUUCUGAGGAGGAGGAGGAGGAGGAGAUGAUGUUUCUUGUCUUCCCGACAAUAUAUUGUAUAUCUUCUAGGAGGGAAAAGAUUCCAGUGAACACAUCCAUUCUUACGGGAGCUAAGUAUAUCCGAGAAAUAUUGGAUGGCCACCCUCAACGGUGCCUUGAUAUUCUUAGGAUGGAAUCCCAUAUCUUCCAACUUCUAUGUGACCAUCUUAGAUCCAAAAAUCUUCUAAAAAAUUCAAAAGGAGUCAGUGUUGAAGAGCAACUAGGGAUGUUUAUGUACAUGCUAUCCAGGAAUGCGAGUUAUCGUACGUUGACUGAUAGGUUUCAGCAGAGUCCUGAAACGGUGCAUAGGCAUAUCAAUGGAUGCUUCAACGCUAUGAGAUCAUUGGCAUUUGACCUUAUCAAGCAUAGUUCGCUAGAUACUCAUUGGAAAAUAUCAACAAAUCCCCAGUUUUGGCCUUUCUUUGAGAACUGCCUAGGGGCAAUAGAUGGGACUCAUGUUCCCAUGACCAUUACAUCCAACGAGGCUGCUCCAUACAGGAAUAGAAAGGGGACCCUCUCCCAAAAUGUGAUGGUCGCCUGCGACUUCGAUCUCAACUUUGUUUAUGUGUCAGCUGGUUGGGAGGGGUCUGCCUCAGAUGCUGGAGUAUUGAAAUCUGCUAUUCAAUCAGGCUUCCAUUUACAUUGUCAUAGGUUCAAUAUGACGCAAAAUAGGGCUAAGUGGACAGCAAGGUAUGAGAAAGGUCUCGUGGAGGUACUUACAGAGUACAAUCUAUCUCAUUACCGUGGCCAAAAUGGGUGGACUACCGAAGGAUGGAAUCAAGUUGUCAAGGAACUGAACAAUUUAUAUCCAGAGGCAAGGUUUACCAAGGAUCAGGUUCAAGAUAAGGAAGCUCAGUUGAAAAAGCACUACAAAAAUAUCAAGUUGAUAGUCAACCGCUCUGGAAUAUCAUGGAAUGAUAUUGCAUGUGUGAUCAACACCACGCCUGAAAAAUGGGAAGAGAUCAUUGCAGAGGACCCAAAGCUCAAAAUGUAUGAAGGAAAGAGCUUUCCAUUGUACAAGGCAUUGGGUGUGCUCUAUGAAGGACACAUUGCGCAAGGAAGACACUGCCUCACAUCAAGGAAGCCUCCGAUUGGCACAAAAACAGGUAGCAACUUUGGAGCGAAGGAUAAGAUGGUUGCAAGCACUAGCAAGAAAAAUACAAGACAUGGAAGAGAUGACAACGUAAGGACUUCUUCAAUAAUUGACAUCAAUGAUACUCCUACAUUAGAUGAUGUGGAUGAAAGAGAGAACACUGUCAAUGACGAGGAAGAAUUAGGCAGUGAAGAUGCUGAUGGCGAUCAACCACAAAUAAGUGAAUCAAGUGCAAAAGGGAAAAAAACUAAGAAACAAAAAGGUGGCACAUCUGUACAGCGGCUUGAAGAUUCCAUGAUGGCUUAUGUGAAUUUCAAGAAAGAUCAAGCUUCCAAGAAGGAAAAAGUGUCACAGCAAGGAAAACAACCCUCAAUUACAGAAUGCUUGCAGGUCUUGAAUGACAUGGAUGAUGUUCCCGACGAGGUCAAAAUCUUUGCCUCUGAUGUUUUCAAGGAUGCAGCAAAUGUGAGAUUUUCCUGGGUUACAACUCAAGAUUGCGGGGAUGUCCUUUCACAUGAUUCUAUGAUUACCCGAGUCCAUGAAGCAAUCAAUAAUAUUCCUGAAAUACUUUAUGUCUAA
rnacentral:rRNA from 1 species